UACGUAGGGUGCAAGCGUUGUCCGGAAUUAUUGGGCGUAAAGAGCUCGUAGGCGGCUUGUCGCGUCGGCUGUGAAAACCUGGGGCUCAACCCCGGGCCUGCAGCCGAUACGGGCAAGCUAGAAUUCGGUAGGGGAGACUGGAAUUCCUGGUGUAGCGGUGAAAUGCGCAGAUAUCAGGAGGAACACCGGUGGCGAAGGCGGGUCUCUGGGACGGUACUGACACUGAGACGCGAAAGCGUGGGGAGCGAACAGG
rnacentral:rRNA from 1 species